GAUGAACGCUAGCUACAGGCUUAACACAUGCAAGUCGAGGGGAAACGACAUCGAAAGCUUGCUUUUGAUGGGCGUCGACCGGCGCACGGGUGAGUAACGCGUAUCCAACCUGCCCAUCACUUGGGAAUAACCUUGCGAAAGUAAGACUAAUACCCAAUGAUAUCCCACGAAGGCAUCGGAAUGGGAUUAAAGAUUUAUCGGUGAUGGAUGGGGAUGCGUCUGAUUAGCUUGUUGGCGGGGUAACGGCCCACCAAGGCAACGAUCAGUAGGGGUUCUGAGAGGAAGGUCCCCCACAUUGGAACUGAGACACGGUCCAAACUCCUACGGGAGGCAGCAGUGAGGAAUAUUGGUCAAUGGGCGAGAGCCCGAACCAGCCAAGUAGCGUGCAGGAAGACGGCCCUAUGGGUUGUAAACUGCUUUUAUAAGGGAAUAAAGUGGGUCACGUGUGACUUUUUGCAUGUACCUUAUGAAUAAGGACCGGCUAAUUCCGUG
rnacentral:rRNA from 1 species